CAAAUUUGGUUAAUUAAUCUUCCCUUUGCUUCUUUUUUUCUUUUUAAUUAACAACAAUGAUAAGCUUGUUUCAGUUUUUAUUGUUUGCCUCCAAGGUUUCUUUCGGAAUUCUUGUGGUCGGGGAUGAGCAAGACGCACAUAAAUUUAGUUUUGAGUUUUAAAGUUUUUUAGUAAUGUCUUACGGUACGACAUGGGAAUCUAACGACUGGUGACUAACUUUCUUUUGCAGUAUGGAAAAUAUUCUUGAACGAUAUGAACGUUAUACAUAUGCAGAAAGGGCACUUACCACGACAAAUCUUGAAUCACAGGUGUUUGGUAUAUUGUGUAUGAGAGGAAUUUGUGCCUUGACAUCAUGGAUAACGCGCCACAAUGCCUACUCUUCAAAGCCUGCCUUCUGUUUGUAUGGCAAUGUAUGCCAGCCUCGAUUAUUUGAAUUUGGAAUUGAAUGUAGCACUCGUAAACUUAUAUGCUUGGGUCUGCAAUUCUAUCCUUUUCUUUUCGUUUAUUUCCCUUGUUAUGUAAUGCUUAGAAGAACAUAUAUUGUUAUUAAUAUAAUCGAAAAACUUGGUAUGUAA